GUACACAUGCACAUGUGCACUGUGUGGAGGUCAGAGGUUCCUGUGUCUUUUUUGAUUCCGCUCUACCUUAUCCUGCAUCUGACUCCUAGCACUGGAAUCACAGCUGGGUUGCCACACACCCAGCACUUACAUGGGUGCUGGGGUCUGAACUCCGCUUUUUCUACUAAUUCAUAUCCCCAGCCACCGGUGUAAAACCUUGUAGAGUUAAAAAAACUUGAGUCAAUCUAUUUCACUCAAGAUUUCUCGGAGAACACAAUUAAUGAACACUCCUACUCUGGCCCAAAAUAGGAACCAGGAGUCAUGGUUGUUCUUCCCUAUUCCUCUAACCCCUGCUUCUCAGUCGCCCGCCGACUCCUCCUGAAUGAUUCCCAUCUGUCUCCUCACAGCUCUUCUGCCACCAUGCCUUGUGCCUCAGUCCCCAUCACCUCAAUACAUCUCCUGCCACACUUCCCAGCUGCCUCUUUCCAGGAUGUCAGUCUUCCAGCCCUGGGACUCGGUGCUCUAGUCACAACAGUCUUACAGAGGAACUCGACAGGCCCCAUGAGCACUUCUGGGGUGGGGGACCCUCACCCAAUGACUGCAGGUUACUGGAUCUCUAUGAUUUGCUGAGUUGAGAAACUGGGCCCCCUCACUGGAUAUAAUGUUUUGAGGAGCAGUAGCAGUUUCUCCAGGCCCUGAACCCGGAAUGCUGUGCACCUGGGCUUCAGCACAUCUGAUGGCAUGCUGCUCCUAACUUCUGCGUGUAUUCCUGAUAAGCAACUUGUCAUAAGACUGAAUACCUAAAAUGCAAAAUUACUGUACAGGGCUGACUUUUCAGGUGAGAGAAAAGCUUUUGGAAGCAGAUCCUACAUGGCUUAAGACAGAAUUCCUGAUUCGUUCCCAGUACACAAUCUCUUCCUUCCUCCCAGCCUAUCCAGGCCAGAGCCCAGAUGCCCUUAAUCACCUUUCGGAGGGAAUCACAUGCCUUCUGCUGGGAUUCCGUUUCCACUGUGAGACCUUCUCCACUGGCAGCCUCCACAGACUGUUUAUCUUGCAAGCUGAAAAGACAAUGUCUUCUUCUAGAACUAUGAAAUCAGAACCAUUGUGGCUUUAAUUAUUGGUUCUGUUAUUUACUAUGUCUUUGGAGCAAAACAGUUCCACCUUCCUAACCAUAGCUGAGGAUGCUGUGAUACAGGGUGUCCCUGACAGACGAUACUCAAUGUAUUUGAUUUUCUCUGCUAGGGGCCAGAAUCUAUACAAUAUACCAUCAAUUCUUUUUUUUAAUUAAGAAAAGUUUUUCAUUCAUUUUACAC